CUGAAAUGGUGCUGAGUCCGGUUCUCAUUAGAACAUGUCUGAUCUGAUUUUAACCUUCUGUCUUUCUUUACCUUCUAGUUUUAACAUUAUGUCAUUAUUUUAGCUUAUUGUUACACGUGUGUUGCUGCUCUUAAAAACAACAAUAAAUAUAUUUGCUGUUUCUUUAUAUUUCACAGCCUCCCAGCAGCUGUGUGUCUGACACUGGGACCAUGAUGGGAAUUCCACCCAGAGCAGCUUCUACACUCCUGAACAGACCCAGCCUGGCAGGUCAUCACUGCAGAGGAGAAUCUUCCCAGACUCACACCAACAUCCCAUUUUACCUCAGGGCCUCCUGAUCUAACAGAAAGACCUGUAGCUCCAUCCUCGCUCCGUUCUCCACAUGUUUGUCAUCAUCUCUGGAAGCUACCUCCCACAACACUGUGAUGUUAUAUAUAAUUUUGUUUUCAGGCUAAGUGAACCCAAGUAAUCUGCUGUCAGACUGUGUAGUAAAGCUUAUUGCUACACGUGUUUUGCUGCUGCGAGCUUGGAGCUAGAUUACAUCAUGAGAUCAUGAAGGAGACUACUGAUUCUGGCCCUGUGACACUUGGUGGUGACAUGUGAGCUGAUUAACCUGGACACUCAGCAAAAUAUGGACCUUACAUCAUGAGGCAGGCACACGUUAAUACUCUAUAAGAGCACAUAAGCAUGAGGAUGUCCUCACACACCUGUAACCUAUCAGCUCAUCUGGCAGAAUAGAGAGAGAGAAGAGACAACACCACAUCUCCUGUUCCUGGAAAGCCUUCAGCCAUCCUUCGAUGACUGAGAACCUCCAUCAGCUCUGUCUCCUGUCUGCCUACAAUUAUAAUAAAUAUUGUGUUUGACAAGUUUUUUGUGCUGCCAAAUAUCUCAUUUUCAUUCCAGUUUUGAUAUUUUAAUGGAUAUUUAUAAAUGACAUUAAUUGAAUUAUC